UACGUAGGGCGCGAGCGUUGUCCGGAAUCAUUGGGCGUAAAGAGCUCGUAGGCGGCCUGUCGCGUCUGCUGUGAAAUCCCGGGGCUUAACCCCGGGCGUGCAGUGGAUACGGGCUGGCUGGAGGCAGGUAGGGGAGAACGGAAUUCCCGGUGUAGCGGUGAAAUGCGCAGAUAUCGGGAGGAACACCGGUGGCGAAGGCGGUUCUCUGGGCCUGUACUGACGCUGAGGAGCGAAAGCGUGGGGAGCGAACAGG
rnacentral:rRNA from 1 species